UACAGAGGUCUCAAGCGUUGUUCGGAUUCAUUGGGCGUAAAGGGUGCGUAGGUGGCGCUGUAAGUCAGGUGUGAAAUUUCGGAGCUUAACUCCGAAACUGCAUUUGAUACUGCGGUGCUUGAGGACUGGAGAGGAGACUGGAAUUCACGGUGUAGCAGUGAAAUGCGUAGAUAUCGAGAAGAACACCGGUGGCGAAGGCGGCCAUCUGGACAGAUACUGACGCUGAGACGCGAAAGCGUGGGGAGCAAACAGG
rnacentral:rRNA from 1 species